GAUAUAUAUGUGUGUGUGUGUGUGUGUGUGUGUGUGUGUGUGUGUAUACAUACACACAUAUAUAUAUUUGCAUUUAUGUAUGUUAUAUAC
rnacentral:miRNA from 1 species